GGCACAAUCUGACGCCAAAACGGCGAUAGGGGUCCACCGGCAACCCCGACGGCCCCCAACAGUCCGAAAUAGUCUGAACACUACUGUAAAAAUACACUCGGCAUCCGAGCAUGAGCGUAACUGAAAUCUAAACUAUCUGGGAUAUCCACCACACUGAUACUGCAACGAUACAAAAUAACAACGGCUUCUAGAGCUAAAUCAGAUAAUUUAAGCAUAUGACAGGUCAUAAUCGUUGUUUUCUCCUAAGUCAAAUUUCAGUCCAACAUGUGCUAGUAGAUACACGCAACGAGGAAACUCCAAUUCAGAUUUUAUAUGGAAUAUGCCAAAAUUCAUGAACUGAGCAAAAUUUAUCAACAUAACAACACAUGUCGACCAACUAUAUACUUAGAAGACAAACCGACGAUUAACCCACCUCGAUAGCUAAUCCCAAUCUGGCGCGACGUCGAGAACGGCAAAAUCGACCCUCGUCCGGCCUCCUCACGAUGCUACGACGACGAAGACCUGCUCGAACGGCACCGCGGCGCGACGUCGACGAAACUCGAACUCCACCCGAGCUCUUCCUUGCUCGGCCGAUGCCAGC
rnacentral:lncRNA from 1 species